rnacentral:rRNA from 1 species
UACGUAGGUGGCGAGCGUUGUCCGGAAUUACUGGGCGUAAAGGGUGCGUAGGCGGUUUAUUAAGUCAGAUGUGAAAUUCCGGGGCUCAACUUCGGAAUUGCAUUUGAAACUGGUAGGCUAGAGUGCAGGAGAGGAAAGCGGAAUUCCUAGUGUAGCGGUGAAAUGCGUAGAUAUUAGGAAGAACACCAGUGGCGAAGGCGGCUUUCUGGACUGUAACUGACGCUGAGGCACGAAAGCGUGGGGAG